AGAUCCUUUUAUUUUAUACGGGCAACACUGCUGCCACCGUGAUGACAACCCUAGGAAGAUUUUGACAGAUAGAGCGCUCGCUUUCUUCGUUGACAGAUAAACUAUGUUUUCUUACGAUAGUUAUUAAAAAUUGUGUUUUAAAAGUGAAUACAAGAAGUUAUUGUGAUACGAAUUGACGUUUUAUUUCUGAUGAAAGCUAGGAGAUCAUACCCUAGCUUAUAUCAGAAGUGGGAUGAACAGAAAACGCCUAGUUACCAAUGGGGCGCGAAUGCUCCGAAUACAAUAAAAUUAAUGAUCACGCCACACUAUGCGAAACACUUAAACGAAGACGAGAUGACCACAGCACUGAUUGCUCAACCGCAAUAAUGCAUCAAGGACUUUUCUACUCAAGGAAAACAAAGCGACAUGGUCAACAGUAUUAUCAUCAGCGUUCCUCCACUACAGCGCUCGUGAACACUGAUGGUAUUGAAGAGUAAAACUGAAUGUCUACAAUCGGAUGAGAUUAAACUGCGAAAGACUUGUGGAGCCAAUAAUGACGACGACCAGACAAGAUUCUUGUGUGUAGAUUACUGCUUGACACACACUACGCCUGAUGGCGAUUAGACACCUCCGCCGUGAUGAAACAUUUUACCAGGUACCCGAGACAUUGGACAAUCAGGUAUAAGUAUAUAAGCAUAAUAUUUUUUUUUUGCAUUCCAAUUUAUUCCAUGGAAUAGACAACAACAAUUUAAUGGCCCAAACAUGUGUAUACAUGCAUACACACGCAGGUGCAUGCAUGUAGGAUAAUAUUACAAUUAUUAAAGGUAUGUGCUUAAAACAUGUUUGCCACUUGUCAUGGCACACAAAUAUAAAACCAGAAACAUUUAGCUCUAUAUACUAAAAACUAUUUGAGCCGACAUUUCAGAGCUUCAGUACUGAGUUUUUUCUAAGUUAUAGAUAUUUUAUUAUACAUAAUGGGAGCGAUUCAAAAUAUAAGUGCAGUUUUACAUGGAUGUAAAUAGAGCUUGCUAUUGAUCCAUGCAUGAUUCAUGCAUUUCUAAGGUGGGUAAUUGUAUAACAAUAUAUUUAAUUAGACAUCCAUAAACCAACUGGGAAUAUGGCAGAUAGUCUGAGGUAAACAUUUCUAUCCUGAAUAAUUAUGUAUGGUGUUAUUUUUGCUACACAUUGAAUACAUAAAAUAUUCAUAUUCUUUAUUGCACACUAAACAGUAAAUACAUACGGUAUACAGACAGUUAUGUACAACGGCGAGCUUAACCCAGAAUUGGAAAUAUUUACAGGAAAAGAGUAAAUAAAGCAAGUAAAGCUAAUUGCAUAGUUCAUGGAUGAUGGCCAAACGAUUUGGUGUUAAUGCAUUAUUUACAUACAUUACUGAAAUAGACAAAGGAAGUACCUACAAAAAUAAGUAAAUAGGAUAUAACAAUAGGAUAUUCACGUUAUAAAGCCAAUAAAACAAUAAUUAAAAUUGAAAUAAUCAUAAUCACUUACAAAUAGAAGUAGAAAAUAAAUUGGUUAAUUGACAACCAACAAAAACUGUUGGACACAGCUCUUGACUAUUCUAAGUACAUCCCAAGCGGUGAUAACAGGUAUUAAUAAUGGAUAAUCAAAUACUUUAAAGUACUAUAAACACUAAACUGGUUUUUAUUAAUAAACUAUAUGAAACUAAAUGCUUCAAGCCAGUAGGUACCUAUGUUUCAGACAGUAAGUAUGUUUUACCAAUAUGUUGGUUCUGCCAAUACAUACAGUUGAUUUGUUAUGUAUGUGUUUUCUAUUGUAUUGAUUUGUUAUGUAUUUGUUUUUAGUUUAGUCUAGAAUAAAUUAAUAAGAACCCAUCUGCCGCAUUAGGCAAGUCCUGUAAGGGUAGAUGUAAGGUUGUGUAUAAAUAAAUACAUCAGUGUUAAGUAAAACUUCAUUCCAAGCAAAUAUCAUUGCCUGUUGUUAUUUUAAAGAUGCAUGUUUUAUUUUAAAGUGAAAAUUAUAAAAAUGGUAAUCUUUUUAAAUGAUCUUUUCCAUAUUAUUAACUGUAAAUUGCCUCACCUAGAAAAAGUUAAACUGCCUAGUCUAUCUGAAUGUUGGAUGACAUUACAGCUAACAGGUACAUUAUAGGACUGUAACACAUUAAGGAUAUUAUUUACUUAAAGGAUUUUACAGACUGAAGCAUAAUAAAUAAAUAUAACUCAGUAGUGUCAAUUAAUCAGAAGAAAAUAUAACUCAGUAGUGUCAGUAAUCCGAGUAGCCGGAUUAGAUAUGCUCUUUUUGAAAGAUUUCAUUUUAAUUUGGAAUCCACCACUUGAUGCUGAGACCAAUCUGGUUUCCUCAACCAUUCAAAAUAACCUGAAGUGCUUAAAGAUAUGUACACUAGAAUCAAAUAAAUACAAAAUAAACAAAUUUCGGCUUUGAAAUCUGAACGGAAAGCAGUCUAUCAUUAUUAAUUUAAUAAAUGGAUAUGGCGAUUGCGUCAAUAAGAGAUAGGUCUGAGUUGGAACGAAACAAUAUUAGUUAGACAUAAAAUUGUUUGAUACUACACAUUAGCCAUACCAUCAGAAUGCGUUAUACUAUGCUGAAAAAGAAGUAUGUAAGACGGUUAAAGGAUAAAUGAUUAGGCAAUUAAUAAGUAUUUUGUCCUAGCCCAUUAAAAAGUCGAAUACAUACCAGGGCACUCAGUAAAAUAUAUAGAUAAACUGAACCUGAACUUUUAUGGAUGGUAACAAUACAAGUUAACACUUCUCUCUAUACUCUCUUAUGCAUACCGGAUAAUAUUCAUAUCAAAUAUUCUAAACACAAAAAUAUAGGUACUCUCAUUAUGAUAGGAAAUCUUGUAAUUUCCUGGGAGGUUAGACAUUUUAUUCUGAGACUAAAUUUCAGCACAUGUUGUAUGUUGGACCUUCUCUCACAGAAAAUUACAUGUACAGUUUAUGAUGAUUUUCUUGAUUGAUGUUGUGAGUCUAUUCUGACCAUUUAUAAAAUAGGAACCAAGAUUGUGGAGGAUCAGAGGAGUGAAUUCAGUGGGGUGUCAACAAUCCUUAACAAGUCAGUAAGUUCAACCACAAGUGUUUUACAGUCAACAACUAAGAAAGAGCAUUGCUUAGUAUUUAUUAGUUUUGAACCAUUAAUUGAAUAAACUGACUGAUAAAAAUAAAGAACAAUUUAUAUGGUUAUUGGAACUUAUGUUUAAAGAUGAUGACAUCUGGUUAUAUUCAUGUAUAUAUUUAUUUGCAUUCCAUAAUGUUACAAUUGAUGUUGAAGAGGCUUAAAACUAAGUAGGUACCAUUAUAGGCCCUGUUAGGGCACAGCUAAAGAAGGCAAUACUUUAAGGCAACUUUUUUGUCCCUUUGUUUGUAUUAAAAUUGUUACUACGGCACCACCUUCAAUUCUGCUUUCGUAUCCCUCAUCAGGGAUAUAGUUCCGAAGGAGCAGAAGGCUUUUCCACUCACACUUUACAUAAUGGUAUUAACUAAAAAGAAAAGCUUGCAUUGAAAAGUGUAGUGAUUUGAAUGAAUUGUUAAUUAAUAAAAUAAUACCAGACGAAGAAAAUUGAAUGAAUAAAUUAAAGAUUUAUAAAAUUUUUACUUUGAUUAUCUGUUAUUAAUUAUUAUGAGCCUCUGUAUUGUAAUGUGAAAUAAAUUGAAAGAUUCAUUCAAUUCUAUUCUAUUUCAGUUUGGUUACAUUGUUGAAUUAUUAAAACAAGACUAGAUAAAUAAACUUUUUAUAAAUUGAGAGUUUUGAAGGUAUGCACUCUGUACUGUUUUAGCUGGUUCUAUUGUUUGUUGCUGAAAACUAACGACUUGAGGAAGAAAGUGGAUAUUAUGUAUUUAUAUUUUUUAAUCACUACAAUAAGGGAUUAACAGAAACAUUGUAAUGUUGUAGCAAUUGUAACUUGUAGUGGUCUGAUUGGAUUUGAUUGUGUUGUUAAAUAAUAAUAAUAGAAGACAUGUAAUGAUUUAGUUUAACCAUAGGCAUUGCUCUAAUACAAAUAAGAGAUGGACAAAAAAAAAAUGUAAUUACUUGUACAUUUCUCGUUUUAUUAUGUUGUUAAUUAUUAAAAACAAGCAACUGGAAUGCUAAUAAAGAAUUGAGCAUUGAUUGGACAAGAUAUAUGGUACUAGUUGUGAGAUAACGAAUAUAAAUAAGAGAUGGGCAGAGAAACUGACUAAAGAAUGUUUAAUAGCUACCUUGAUCAUAUUGAUGAUUAAUGAAAACUAAACAAGAUAAAAUAUGUAUACAUAUAUAUUGUAGACAGAGAUAGAAGAUGUAAUAAAUUGAGAUUUGUAUAUUGACCAGUUUGAUGAUAUUGUUAAUUAAGAAAGUCAUUUAUGAUUUUGAAUUUAAUACUGUUUUACACGGAAGGAAUUGUGUAAGGACGGUUUUGUGUAAGGAGCCACUCGUGAUAAUAUUAUUAAUCAAUAUUUAUAAAGAGCAUUUAAAAAGCUGUAUACAUUUCUCAUAACUCUCAAUUUUUCGAAACCAAGUCCUUAAAAAUAAAUUGUAUAUUGUAUUGAAGAUCAUUACAAGCAUAAUGAUGAAGUAUAUAAAUCUAAGACAGGAUAUUAAGCAAUUGUACAUUGUAUUGAAGAUCGAUACAAGCGUAAUGAUGAAGUAUAUAAAUCUAAGAGGAUAUUAAGAAAUUGUGUGUUGUAUUGAAUAUCAAUACAUGUGUAAUGAUUAAGUUUCUGAAUCUGAGGCUAGAUAUUAAGAAAUUAAUAAUGAUGAAGUAUAAACAUCUGACGCUAGAUAUUGAGAAAGUUUAUAUUGUAUUGAAGAUCAAUACAAGUGUAGUGUCCCAGUUUAUGAAUCUAAGGCUAGAUAUUAAGAAAUUGUAUAUUGUAUUGUUAAUGUACUGUAGUUCAGGUACUGGAUAGAAAGAAGUUGUUUACUGUAAUGUGAAAUUAUAUAAGCAGAAGCAAUGUGUAAAUAUUGAUUUGCACUUUGAAUUAUGAUAUUGAUGAAUUUGAAUAUGUUAAUAAGGAAUAGAAGUUCAGAGACCUUGUAUAAUAGAAGUUUUCUAUUGAAAUGAGAAAUGAUAUAAGUAUCUUGAUGCCAAUAUGGUGAUGCUGACUUGUACUGCUUGUAUUUGAGUGAGGUAUACAAAUCCAGAGACUAGAUAUAAAGGAUUCUUGUCGUCGAUAUGUUGAUAUUGACUUGUAAUAUUGAAAUUUGAAUAUAUUGAUAAGGUACCUAGAUAAGUCCCGAGAUUGGAUAUAAGGAAGUGUUUAUUUGAUGGAGAACUAUAUAAAUGAUUUGAUGAUUUUGAUUUGUUGAUUUUGAUUUGUUGAUUUUGACUUGUAUUGCUUGAAUUUGAAUGUAUUGAUAAGGUACACAAGUCCGGAGACUGGAUAUUGAGAAUUGUUUAUUCAAUGGGGAAUGAUAAAAGUAUAUUGAUGUAAAUAUGUUGGUUUCGACUUGUACUGCUUGAAUUUGAAUGUAUUUUUAAAGAUACUGGAUAUAAAACGAGUUGAUUAUUGAAAUAGGAAAUUAUAUAAGUAUAUAUAUGCCAAUAUGUUGAUGUUGACUUGUAAUGGUUGAAUUUGAAUGUAUUGAUAAGGUACAUAAGUCGAGAGACUUGAUAGAAGGAUCUUGAUGUAAAUUUGUUAACAUGACUGGGAGGCGUAGAUAGCUCCAAAUGGGAGUGAAUUCCUCGCUGCAGUCACAGUGAUAGUAAGAUUAACUUACUCUGUUAAACUUGAAUGUUUUGAUAAAGUAUACAAGUCCAAAUACUAGACGUGAAGUUGUUUACAACUGUCAGUUUUUCAAAAUGAAAUGAAAUUAAAAUAUUCGAAGAAAUUGUUUAUCGUAGUGAGAGUUUUGCAAUUAUAUUGUUGACGAUUUGUUACAGAUGGCUGGAAAGCAGGUGGCAAGUGAGAGUGCUUGGCCUCUGCAACAGUAAAGAGAGGCAGGUGGCAAGUGAGAGUGCUUGGCCUGUGCAACAGUAAAGAGAGGCAGGUGGCAAGUGAGAGUGCUUGGCCUGUGCAACAGUAAAGAGAGGCAGGUGGCAAGUGAGAGUGCUUGGCCUCUGCAACAGUAAAGAGAGGCAGGUGGCAAGUGAGAGUGCUUGGCCUGUGCAACAGUAAAGAGAGGCAGGUGGCAAGUGAGAGUGCUUGGCCUCUGCAACAGUAAAGAGAGGCAGGUGGCAAGUGAGAGUGCUUAGCCUCUGCAACAGUAAAGUUGUUGAAGUUGUACAGUGACUGGCAAGUGAGAGUGCUUGGCCAGUGAAGCUAUGAGAAGAUAUGGUAACAAAUGUAGAAUAUAAAAAGAUUAAUAUCAGAUCUGUUUGAAAACUUGAUUACCCAGUAUACAUAUCUUUUCUUUGAAUUGUAUAAAUUAUUUUUCUAGUAAAAAUUGCACUAAAAUUAUUUUGUAUAAUUUAUUAAUACAUUUUUAGCUCAAUUUGUAUUGUAUAACAUUCUCAGGACUAGAUAGAAAACUGUAUGAAAUAUGUAAUUAAUUUUAUUUUCUUUUAAAAAGAGUGUCCAUGGAGUUUCUUGCCGGUUCUUCUCCAUGAGACCAACUCUUUGGAACCGUGCACCUAGCUUUGACGUUUCGAAAGAGCUUUUAUAUGGCUAAUUGAAAAAAAAAAAUAUUGAGUUUAUGUUUGAAUAAAUUAGAGUAAUUGUGUUAAAUCCGACUUCUUGGAAAGUUGUUUAGUGGCCAAUAGGUGGCACAUGUUAUUAUUUCUAGUUCAACUUGCAUUGUAUAACUUUCUCAGAGUAGUCAGAGUCAGCCAUAAAAUAUUGUAAGCAUUUCUUUUUUUUUAUGUUAUUAUCGUAUGUAUCAAUACAUACCAAAUGUUAUACAUAUUGUGUUUUAAAAAGAGUAACCAUGGAGUUUCUUGCCCGUUCUUCUCCAUAGGAAGCUACUUUUGGAAUGGGCAACUAGAAUCAAACAUAUUUAUAAUUACCCAAGGGUAUAGUUUGAGGACAAACUAAAGGUCAGGAAGGCCGAAUGUUAGAUCCUUUUAUUUUAUACGGGCAACACUGCUGCCACCGUGAUGACAACCCUAGGAAGAUUUUGACAGAUAGAGCGCUCGCUUUCUUCGUUGACAGAUAAACUAUGUUUUCUUACGAUAGUUAUUAAAAAUUGUGUUUUAAAAGUGAAUACAAGAAGUUAUUGUGAUACGAA
rnacentral:lncRNA from 1 species